CAGUCGCCGCGGGAAUACGUAGGUGGCAAGCGUUGUCCGGAAUUAUUGGGCGUAAAGGGCUCGCAGGCGGUUUCUUAAGUCUGAUGUGAAAGCCCCCGGCUCAACCGGGGAGGGUCAUUGGAAACUGGGAAACUUGGGUGCAGAAGAGGAGAGUGGAAUUCCACGUGUAGCGGUGAAAUGCGUAGAGAUGUGGAGGAACACCAGUGGCGAAGGCGACUCUCUGGUCUGUAACUGACGCUGAGGAGCGAAAGCGUGGGGAGCGAACAGGAUUAGAUACCCCGGUAGUCCCUGUCUCUUAUAC
rnacentral:rRNA from 1 species